AGUGAACGCUGGCGGUAGGCCUAACACAUGCAAGUCGAACGGCCGCACAGUAAGAGCUUUCUCUUACGGGUGGCGAGUGGCGGACGGGUGAGGAAUACAUCGGAAUCUACUUUUUCGUGGGGGAUAACGUAGGGAAACUUACGCUAAUACCGCAUACGACCUACGGGUGAAAGCAGGGGAUCUUGGGACCUUGCGCGAUUGAAUGAGCCGAUGUCGGAUUAGCUAGUUGGCGGGGUAAGGGCCCACCAAGGCGACGAUGCGUAGCUGGUCUGAGAGGAUGAUCAGCCACACUGGAACUGAGACACGGUCCAGACUCCUACGGGAGGCAGCAGUGGGGAAUAUUGGACAAUGGGCGCAAGCCUGACCCAGCAAUACCGCGUGAGUGAAGAAGGUCUUCGGGUUGUAAAGCCCUUUUAUUAGGAAAGAAAAGCAGCAUAAUAAUACCCCGCUGUUCUGACGGUACCCAAAGAAAAAGCACCGGCUAACUUCGUG
rnacentral:rRNA from 1 species